UGCAACGAUAUCACCAUGAAACACCGGUUCUCAUACGAUCAUUAAAGUUAAGCAACGUCCAGCCUGGUCAGCAACUAGAUAGGUGACCAAUUGGGAAUACCAGGUGCU